UGGGGAUUAUCUGAGUUGUAGUCCGCAACAUCUGGGGACCAUUGUGGACCACCCCUGCUUUAAUACCACACCUUGUGUCACAUCUGGAAAGAGAAUGGAAGCCAGCCCAGCAGUUAUUUAGCACGGGUGUAACAUGCGCUGCCAUCUGUUCAUUCCUGCUGGUGUUCAAGCUGCCAUAUUUUGAACUAAUUGACAUUUCCAGACAGUCUUCAAGGGCUGCUCCAGAUACAACAUAUUGCAAGAGUCCAGUCUUCUGGUUAUCAAGCACCCUCCUCCCACCCUCCAGGGCCAGUUAACUGGAAGGUUUCUUCAUUCAUCAUAAGAAUGCAGGAACACAGUCUGAACACAAAAUCUACACUGGAGGAGAGAAUACUGUAAAGAAGAAAGAAUCCAUUGUGGUUUAUUGGCAGAAGGAUACAAUAAGCUUUUAGGGGACUCAUAGGAGAUUAAAACUAUCUCGAAAAUGA